rnacentral:rRNA from 1 species
GAUGAACGCUGGCGGCGUGCUUAACACAUGCAAGUCGAACGAAGCAUUUAUUAUGAAGUUUUCGGAUGGAUUAAUUUAUGACUUAGUGGCGGACGGGUGAGUAACGCGUGGGUAACCUGCCUCAUACAGGGGGAUAACAGUUGGAAACGACUGCUAAGACCGCAUAAGCCUACAGUACCGCAUGGUACAGGAGGAAAAAAUUUAUUGGUAUGAGAUGGACCCGCGUCUGAUUAGCUAGUUGGUAAGGUAACGGCUUACCAAGGCGACGAUCAGUAGCCGACUUGAGAGAGUGAUCGGCCACAUUGGGACUGAGACACGGCCCAAACGCCUACGGGAGGCAGCAGUGGGGAACAUUGCACAAUGGGGGAAACCCUGAUGCAGCGACGCCGCGUGAGUGAAGAAGUAUUUCGGUAUGUAAACUUCGAAAGAAUAGGAAGAAUUAAUGACGGUACUAUUUAUAAGGUCCGGCUAACUACGUGCCAGCCGCCGCCGUAAAAC